GAUGAACGCUGGCGGCGUGCCUAAUACAUGCAAGUCGAGCGAACAGACGAGGAGCUUGCUCCUCUGACGUUAGCGGCGGACGGGUGAGUAACACGUGGAUAACCUACCUAUAAGACUGGGAUAACUUCGGGAAACCGGAGCUAAUACCGGAUAAUAUAUUGAACCGCAUGGUUCAAUAGUGAAAGACGGUUUUGCUGUCACUUAUAGAUGGAUCCGCGCCGCAUUAGCUAGUUGGUAAGGUAACGGCUUACCAAGGCGACGAUGCGUAGCCGACCUGAGGGGGUGAUCGGCCACACUGGAACUGAGACACGGUCCAGACUCCUACGGGAGGCAGCAGUAGGGAAUCUUCCGCAAUGGGCGAAAGCCUGACGGAGCAACGCCACGUGAGUGAUGAAGGUCUUCGGAUCGUAAAACUCUGUUAUUAGGGAAGAACAAAUGUGUAAGUAACUAUGCACGUCUUGACGGUACCUAAUCAGAAAGCCACGGCUAACUACGUG
rnacentral:rRNA from 1 species